ACCUCUUUCUCGGUCUUCUGACUAAGAUCAAGUGUAGUAUCUGUUCUUAGAGCAUCUUCAAUAAAUGGUUCAAAACUGAAGAUGUAAAAUUUGGAUCGUCAAAAAGUGCGCUUUAAAGCUCCGAAAAAAGCUCAACUUCAACAAAU
rfam:Hordeum vulgare subsp. vulgare, WGS project CAJW01000000 data, contig: morex_contig_71200